rnacentral:misc_RNA from 1 species
CAGGUGAACCCCAUGGUUCUGUUGAUGAUAAAGCCCCUAUCCCAUCCUCAGGCAGUAAUCCUGAUCUGGUUACUUCAGGAGAAAACGCUGCACCAACAUCUACGGGUAACACAGAAUCAACUGAGGUAACACCUCAAAAACUAGAUAGCCAGGGUUCACACAUCACAGGUACCGUGCCCUUGAGUGAUGCCUUUGCUUGAAUAUCAAGUUUGAAACUCGUUAGAGGAAAGAGCAUGUUGGAAAUUCUUUGAUGAUUCUUUCAUCUCUAUAUGAAUUUUGAGCGUGGACCAUUACCGUGUCUACAAUGCUAAAAGAAUAGAAUUUGGACCAAGAGAUUAGUUUCAUUGUAAGUUGAAUCCUUAUCUGUAUAUUUUGUUGGUGUUGGGAUCUUGUAUGCUUAUGUGAUUUUUCUGAGAACUACUUCAUGGCAUUGAACGUUGCACUUAGUGUUCUUUUUCUGUAACUAUGCCAAAGACAAAAUAUAGCCUUGAUCUGCCAGUGUUAAGGUUUACAGUGUUGUACUAACGAAUUUU